rnacentral:sRNA from 1 species
AAAAAUAUUGAUUUAAAUCCGUCCGCUAUAUAAUUAUAUUCUAAAAUAUAAUCUGUCUCAUUAUUUUUUUAACUUGUAC